rnacentral:antisense_RNA from 1 species
AUCAGCCUUGGGAGUGACAAUCUGCUCCCUUCAUCCGUCUUCAGGAAAUCCAGCAGGCAUCCUAAGAAAAGAGAAGUUGCAAGUGCCCUUCUGCAAAGUGACCCGCCCCUGGUGGUGCCAGCCUCUCUCUGGUUAACCUGAGCCCGGGGCAGUGAAGAAGCCACUCAGAAGACAGCUUGCUCAGAGGUGAUCCCUUAACCAAAAUCGGGGUAAGUGCCCAGGUGCCACCCCAUUCCAGGUGCCAGAGCUGGAACAUGCAGCUCCGGAGGCCAUGGUUGUAUGGUGCCUACCUUGUGUCCCAGGUCCCUUCUAUAUGGGGCCUCAGGCAGUGGAGGAAUAUACCCCGCCUGGGGGGCAUUUCACCUAUUUGCCCCACACCCAGGGCCUGUGUCCUUCCAUCCUGCAUGGAACCUGCCUCCUUCCCCCACCCCUCCCCUACAUAAUCAGUCUCUUCUAUCACACAAUGGCUCCUUGGUGGAAAUAAGCACACAGCCUGGGGUACACUGGGCAGGAGGACCAGGCAUGGGGGUCUCCUUCCCU